rnacentral:lncRNA from 1 species
GCAAUGGCUUGUUCUGAAAGACUUAAUGCACAGAAGACUAGCGCUCCAUGUGGGCAGGGUCACUGCAUGAGGAAAGGGGCAAAAAGGGUGAGCACUGACUUCCAGGGGCCACAGCUGUCCCUGAAGUUUCAGAGCAGAACAACUUUCCUCAAAGUUCCUCACAUCCCAGAUAAACAAAAGGGACAUGUGAAUCAAACAUGUCCAGUUUAUACUUUCCAAGAUGUCACUCUACCUCCUUGGGAAUUAUAAUUUGAAAUCUUUCAACAUGAGAGGAAUGUUAAAAACAGUAGACAAGGGUUCCUCUCAACACACGGUUUGGGGGCUCCUUUUUUAUUUAAAUAAAAUCACAUUAUUAUAUACUUCCGAAUCUCAACUCUUCUUGCUCAAUAAUACAUAAAAAAAUCUCUCAGAGAAAAAAGAUACAG